rnacentral:rRNA from 1 species
UCCAGACUCUACGGGAGGCAGCAGUGAGGAAUAUUGGUCAAUGGGCGGGAGCCUGAACCAGCCAAGCCGCGUGAGGGAAGAAGGUACAGCGUAUCGUAAACCUCUUUUGUCAGGGAACAAAGGCGGGGACUAGUCCCCGGAUGAGGGUACCUGAAGAAAAAGCAUCGGCUAACUCCGUGCCAGCAGCCGCGGUGAUACGGAGGAUGCGAGCGUUAUCCGGAUUUAUUGGGUUUAAAGGGUGCGCAGGCGGAGGUGCAAGUCAGCGGUCAAAUUGCGGGGCUCAACCCCGUACUGCCGUUGAAACUGCAUCCCUUGAGUGCGCGAGAAGUAUGCGGAAUGCGUGGUGUAGCGGUGAAAUGCAUAGAUAUCACGCAGAACUCCGAUUGCGAAGGCAGCAUACCGGCGCGCAACUGACGCUCAUGCACGAAAGCGUGGGUAUCGAACAGGAUUAGAUACCCGCGUA